rnacentral:piRNA from 1 species
UUCUGAGCUACAUCUCGGGUUUGGGGU